rnacentral:rRNA from 1 species
AGAGUUUGAUCAUGGCUCAGGAUAAACGCUGGCGGCGUGCCUAACACAUGCAAGUCGAACGCGCCUAUGCAAAUAGGCGAGUGGCGGACGGGUGAGGAACACGUGGGUUAUCUACCUUGAGGUGAGGAAUACCGGCGAGAAAUCGCCGACAAUACCGCAUAGGUUUCGCAAGAAACAAAGUCCCGGCAACGGGACGCCACAAGAUGAGCCUGCGCCCGAUUAGCUACGUUGGUGGGGUAACGGCCUACCAAGGCAACAAUCGGUAGCUGGUCUGAGAGGACGAUCAGCCACACUGGGAUUGAGAACGGCCCAGACUCCUACGGGGGGCAGCAGUGAGGAAUUUUCGUCAAUGGGGGCAACCCUGAACGAGCAACGCCGCGUGCAGGAAGAAGGUUUUCGGAUCGUAAACUGCUUUUCCUGGGGAAGAGAACGGACGGUACCCAGGGAAUAAGCCCCGGCUAACUACGUGCCAGCAGCCGCGGUAAUACGUAGGGGGCAAGCGUUGUCCGGAUUUAUUGGGCGUAAAGCGCACGCAGGCGGUCUUUUAAGUUUCGAGUGACAGGUGGUGGCUUAACUGCCACAGGCCUUGGAAAACUGGAAGACUUGAGGACGAGAGAGGGACGCGGAAUUCCAGGUGGAGCGGUGAAAUGCGUAGAGAUCUGGAAGAACACCAAAGGCGAAGGCAGCGUUCUGGCUCGUAACUGACGCUCAUGUGCGAAAGCCAGGGGAGCGAACGGGAUUAGAUACCCCGGUAGUCCUGGCCGUAAACGAUGACCACUAGACGUAGGAGGUAUCGACCCCUUCUGUGUCGCAGCAAACGCACUAAGUGGUCCGCCUGGGGAGUACGGUCGCAAGAUUAAAACUCAAAGGAAUUGACGGGGACCCGCACAAGCAGCGGAGCGUGGUGGUUUAAUUCGAUGCAACGCGAAGAACCUUACCA